UUAACAGCAAAGGCAAAACAUUCCCCAAGUUUCUUUUUCCACGUCCUAUCACGGAAACGCUAAGAUAGGGAAGACAAAAUUUAACCAGAGCUGGGAAAGCGAGAUAACGCCACAGCUGAAAGACUAGAUGCCCGCUCACUGGGGACCAGCCCUGCUCCACAGCCUGCUUGAAGGAGAAGAGGUCUCCAGGGCACCGGGACCUCAGCCCACCGGAGCUCCUUGGACAGACACCCUCACGCACCAGGUUUGUGGACCUCUGGCAAGAUGAUGAACAAUACAAGUAGAAGCGCCUGAUCCCUGUUUGUCAAGAAAGCGUUUCUUCAGAAAAUCAAGGGAGGUGUUUGAGAGACGAGCCCUCUCGUGGGGUUUUCACAAAGGAUGCCUUUUCUAAGCUGUAAGGCCAAACGGCACGUUCCACCCUGGGGCAGCCACGGGAGGAACCUCACUACCACUGAGUGUCUUGGACGUAAUCAGUGUACGUAUGCUCUGUGUUCUCUUUCCGGGAAGAAGGCGAGGUGACUCCUCAUUGCCACAGAAGGCAAUCAAUAAAUAGCUUCUUACUUCAUCUACCCUGGACUCCCUCCUCAGCCCACUCCUUUGCCCCAGGCCUGCAAGGCAGCCACGUAGGCCCUGGGCAAUGUGGGUGUUUGAUCCCCUUUGAGCCUCGAUAAUUAUUUGAAAGGUUCAUGUCAAAUCCCAGACUGAUGUGAUGAAAUGGCUCAUUCCCAUUUGGAGAAUAAAACUAUUCCUGGUAGCUUUUUACAGCCUUGAUUAAAAGAUAGACAUGAAGUAUGCAGAGAAUGAGGGCUGCAGACUUGGGAUGAGGCUUAGAUGGAAACCACAGCUUCAAGACUGCCAGGGCCACGGGGCCAAGCCUCUACCUCUUGUUUUUCUAAGGGAAAUGUGAGGAACAUAUGUUUUUCAUUGCACCCCCUUUUGGCCAUUUACAUAUCGGGGGGCUGUGUAUUUGGCAAUAGGUCCUAUUUUUAGGACCUUGAAAACCUUUGAAACUGUUUUCCUUCUGGCACGUGUGUGCUUUAAGCAAAAAGAAAACACGAAGCUCAGAAAGGAAAAGAGAAACAUGUGCACAGAAACGGAUGAUUUUUGCAGCCCGGCAUCACACAAUAAGAAAGCAAUCAUUCAGUUGCGACUUUAAAAAUGGAUCCUUGCCCGGAUUUUCCAACUAUUUCCUUCUAAAUGACUGUUUCUCUACAGAACUAAACUAAUGUAAAGAGACAGGUUGUCCCCGUGCCAAGACUGAGCAGGCAAAGUAGGACAGAGGCUGUUUUUAGGGAAGGAACGUGGCACAGUAAUGCCUGCUCUGUCUCCUGCGGCCCCUUGGGCAGAGGCAGAGAUGCCUCAUGCCCACUGCAUGGCUGUGGGCCCGUCUCCCACCUGACUCUACAGAGCCUACAGAACCCCAGUCCUAUUAUUUGCAAUCAGUAACAAAGAUUCAUCCUGUGUCAGUCAUACAACACGGAGAGUCUUUGUCACUCAGUGUAAUUAAUAGCCUUCGCCUCGCACGGGACGAUGGGAGAAGAACACUGUUUGUGACUCGGUGUCCUCGGAGGAGGGUUCACCAAUCCUUGCCUCCUUGUGACCACUAACAUGCCACAACUCCAGCCGCAGUGGAAAGAGGACUUAGAAUCACCAUGGAUCCCAUCUCUGACUAUUCCUAAAGUGUGUUUCCAGAAAGGUUGUGAGAACAGGGAAGUUCCACCCUGAAUGAGGGCUGGGGUCCCGGUCUGUGCAACACGGAGAAAGUGAGCUGAGGAGCAGCCUCCAUUCCCUCUGCCUCCUGCCCGCAGUGCACUGUGAUCAGGGGGUACACAGUGUUCCAUGCCUUCCCCACCGUCACAGACUACACCUCAGACCCCGAGCCAGGAUAAAUGUUUCCUGCCUGAAGCAGCUUUAUCGGGUGUUUCGUCACAGCCACAGGAAAGUAACCAACACGGCCAGACUGCUUAUGAACAGCAAACCCACUGCCAGCCUUUGCUCUGUGCUCUGACAGGAAGCUCAUUCCAGCCGGUCAGCCACCUUGCCUUUGCUGUUCCUCAUCAGGGUGCCAUGGAUCCUGAAAGCUGGCUGAGGCAGCUUUCUGUCAGCUCUGGUCGCAUGGUCUUAAACCACAGACAUUUGUUUUCUUACAGCUCUGCUGGUCUUAAUCCAAGAUCACAUUCCAGCAGGGUUCCUCCUGGCAUGUAAAGGGUCAGUUUCUUGCUGUGCCCUUGUGGGUCCUUCCUUCAGGAUAUACUCAUGAAGAGACUUUCCUUGGUCUUCCCAUGCAAACACCAACCACAUCUCACUAGGGCCCCACACUCUGCACUGCAUUGAGCCCAGUAAGCUCCCAGUAGCCCCAUCUGCAGACAUAGUUACACUGGGAGUUACGACUUCAAUACAAAGUUUUGGGAGAAAUUCAGUGGAGUCUAUAGGAACCCGUAGGCCAGAUGCCCUCAAAGGAUAAAAUGCACAGAGUAUGAAAGUGACUUACAUUGACCUCACUGUAAGCUUACACAUUAGCUUGUAAGGCCUUUUAGUGUAGACAUGACUCAUGAUACAUGUAAUAUAAUGAUACAACGAUGCAUGACGGCUGUUGAUGAGGGGGAAAACGCAGCUGUUUUGUAUGUGUUUUAAGCUGUAAAAUAUAAAAAUAGUCUAUGCAAUCAAUUCCUACCUAAAAUGUCAAUUUUGUAAUAAUGUGUGCAUCCAUCAGUUAUCACUGUGACCGACCACAUAAAUAAUUCAUAAUUUAACUCA